GGCCCUUCUCCCCUCGGCGUUCAGGGCGGGUGAGGCCGCCCCUGGGGGCUCCUCAGGUGCUCCAAGAGCCGCGCCGUGGCCCUCCUUGGCCGGGCUUUGCUUCUGAGUGAAGGAGGCUCGCCCGUGGCAGCGAGCAGUAGGCUUUUCUCCAGCCUAAACCGCCGAGGUCUGCCGAAUUUCUUUCUUAUUGCCAUUCGACUAAAGAAAGAAAACGCUUUUCCCAAUCUCUUUUUAGUAAUUUACUUUGCAUUGUUUGGGAUUGUAUAGGUUUUCUUAUUUUCAUAUACAUGUUGAUGACAUGUGCCUAGAAGUCUCUUCAUUCCAACUAUUACCAGGUGCCCAGCUGCAGAGUGACGGAAGUUUUAACCCAGAGGGAACAAACAUUGCUUCACUGGCAGGAAAAAGGAGCAGAAGCAAACUGAACGUUUCUGUGCUUUCUGAAGGAAGAAAGAAGUCAAGAGUUUGUCUUUCAAGGAUGACUGCUCUUCAAGUACCCUGAGUAGGAUCCAAUCACCUGUUGGAAAACCAUGGGCAACUGUGGAACUGCUGAAAGAUGGAAGGAAAGGAAAUACGACACUGCUUUUCUUAAACAGAAAGCAGUACAAUUCUAGCAAGAGCCACACUACAUAUCUGGAUCCCAGCCCUUCCCAAAAGAUAACUCAGCUGACGUCUGCAGAGCCAGAUUUCCCUGCCUUGAAAUCCAAAUUCCCCUUCCUUGAAACCAAUAGCAAAACUCACUGAGACCAUUUGUUCAGGAUGCAUGCAAAGGGAUUUCUACCGGCUCAAGCAAGCAGUAAUGGAGAUGGAGCCCUGUCCUCUACAGCACAAGAUCCCUCCCCAUCGGUCAGCUGCACGAUGCCAAAAAUUGCAUUCUCCCUGCUAUCUUGGGGCAGCACCUGUGUCAGGAAGAGGCAGACACGACAUGGCAGGAUCCUGCCAGCAGCUCAGGCUCUCCUCUUCCUGCUCCAAACUGAAGACAAAAUGACUGCCUGUCUGAAUACAGCAGACGUCUCAGAGAUGUAAAUGUCGAGCACACCUGAAUCAAAGCCACAGCACAGCUGACUACAGUAUUGUAUAAAGAAAAUAUUGACUGUCUUUGUGUUUGUUUUUUAUGUAGGGGGUUGAAAAUACUAGUGAUGUUUAAACACCUCUUUAGAGUCAUUACAAGAUAUUGUGCAAAUAUAGUAAAUUUUCUCCAGUAAACAGGCAUGAAAUGCACGUUUGCUUAUCAGAAUGAAACAGUUCCAGGGGAGGCCUUGAAGUCUAUCAGGUGAAUCAUCUAAUCUCCAGCUUUAAUGUAUUGAAGGGGGUAAAUAAGUCACUUUUUAGAGAUGUCUAAAUAUAUAUUUCCCUAGGAGAGCUUUUUCAAUCUCUAGGAUAAAUAAAUCAUGCCUAUAUAAAGAUUGAUUUAUUAUUAUUAUUAUUUAAAAUAUGUGGUUUCCUGAGUAAAUAGUUGUGGCAUAAAUAUGUAGUACACAUACCAAACAUACUUAAUAACAUACAUUCUUCACUGCAAAAAUGCAUAUUGCCAAGCUGUAUCAGCCAUUCGGGAUUUAAUAAUCUGCCAUAAGAUAUUUCCCCCUCCCACUUAGGAAAGAAAGAAAAGCAAAAAGAAAACAGGUACAAAUUUCACAAUCAGCAAAAUUGCCAUACCUUUUAGGAAUGUUGGAGUUACAAUAUAACCUGACAAAAAUACGGAAAUUAAAAUGCAAAACCAACCCUGUAUCCUCAAUUCACCCUUUUGUGCGUUUUCUUAUUAUCAUGCAGAAGCACACAGCCAUUUCUCCUGUGAAUCUUUGCAACAGUAUGCUUCCCUACUGCAUUUUCAAGAUGACUUAUUCUUGCUGUUAGCUACCUCCAAAACUGUUACAGUAGGUCAUAUAGUACAUCACUGCCAAAGUGCAAUUAAUCCCUACUGCACAUUUAAAAGGGCUUAUCCUGCCUAAUGUAAGUGUCCCGUGUGACCUGGCUUUCUCUUUUUCUUUGCUUUAGCAUCAAAUUGUUUUUGGGACUUGGAAUAUUUAAAAACAAAAAUAUGUCUUUUUUUAAUCUUUCUCCUGAUUUCAUUAAUUUUGCAACAAAAAAGGGCAUUUGGUCUUUCCCUACAUCUGCACAACAUGCCUCACUGUAUUUUCCUCUCUUCCCCCACAACAGCAUCUAGAAUUGUUGUCCUCUUCUUUGUUACUUUGGAGCAGGCCACGAAGCACUGCUGGGCUUGAGCGCUGCACAUUGGGCAUGAGUUCUUGAACCCUAGCUCCCCCUUGCAGGGAUGUUCUUCACUGCUGCCUCAGGAGCACUUUGUCCUCAGUUUGUCAGCCUGGCCAGGCUCUCUCACUUUCUAUCACCAACAGGCUUAGUGAUAAAACACAGCCAAGAUUUAUUCAGAAAGUGGUUUAAGGCACUGUCCAUCUCCUCCUGCUUUAUCUUUGUAGCUCCUACCUUGGAGGUCAUGCCUGAAUCUGAAAACUCUCUUAAAGACUUCAGCUGAAAGCACAUGCCUCAGGUACUUGUCCCAUCCUAUAUUCUCUGAAAAACACCCAGACUAUUUGGCUUUUGCAAUUUCUCCCUGGGGCAGGGUACCUAAAAUAUGAAAGCCCUGUUUCUCCAGGAUGCCCAGUCAGACUCAGCAGCAUUACAGAAUCACAGAAUCAUUUAGGUUGGAAGAGACCUCCAAG